UUGAUUGGGAUGAAGCAAUAUUUUAAUUUCCAACACUUGGACUGAGAGGUAGGAAAUCUCACCUCUAGUGAUGCAAUAAUUUGCUACUGAAUCAUG